rnacentral:rRNA from 1 species
UACGGAGGCAGCAGUAGGGAAUCUUCCGCAAUGGACGAAAGUCUGACGGAGCAACGCCGCGUGAGUGAUGAAGGUUUUCGGAUCGUAAAGCUCUGUUGUUAGGGAAGAACAAGUGCAAGAGUAACUGCUUGCACCUUGACGGUACCUAACCAGAAAGCCACGGCUAACUACGUGCCAGCAGCCGCGGUAAU